GGAUCCUUCAUGUUUUGAUCCUAAUAUAAGGAGUGUCUCUAUGCAAAUGUCCUCCCCUGCUAUAUAUUUAAGCAAUGAAAACCAAGAUCUUUUACUUAUUCUGCGUCAACACACACCAUGAUCUCUGCAUCCCUACUGCUGCUGCUGGCAGCCGUACACUGUGUUCACUGUGUUGAACUGAUCCAGCCUGGAUCCACGGUAUUAACCCCUGGUCAGUCAAUGACUCUGACCUGUAAAGUGUCUGGAUAUUCAUUAACUGAUAGCAGCUACUGUACACAGUGGAUACGACAACCUGCAGGAAAAGCUCUGGAGUGGGUCGGAUGGAUAUGUAGUAGUGGUGGCACUGGCUACAGUGAGAAACUGAAAAGCAGGUUUCAGAUUUCCAGAGACACGUCCAGCAGCACAGUAACAUUAACAGGACAGAACAUGCAGACUGAAGACACAGCUGUGUAUUACUGCGCUCGUCAACCACAGUGAGACAGAUCAACAACAUCCCUGUACAAAAACACCUCAUACAAAGUCCUAUUAGUCCACAAGUGCAACAGUUAUCUAUCAAAGUCUAACCAUAAAAUAUAAUCAGACAAAUCACAACAAAGAGUUUAAAGUUAUUUUAAAAUGUUUAUAAUGUAGAUUUUAAACCAUAUUUCUAACAUAAUAAUGCUACAUCUCUAACAUUUCUGCACAUUAUACAAACUAUUAUAAUCACAUCACUUACAAGAACUUGUUAUACUGUAGUAUUUUUACUUAACAAUAAUCACCUCAACAAAUUAGAAUUUGUGUGAUCAUGUGUGAGAAAGUGUGAGAACAUUUUGUCAUGAUUUUUAAGAGAGGUAUAAUUUUUCAGUGAUUACGAGCCCAAUAUCCACAAGCAUGGAUAAUAAUGAUCAUGCGA